UGAGAGGUAGAGGGGUCCCUCAGCCUGGAUUGCGAGAGGGCACAGGCCAGGCCGAGGGACUCCACUGGUGCACA
rnacentral:pre_miRNA from 1 species